rnacentral:lncRNA from 1 species
GUCUCUCUCGCUGGCUUUUUAAAAAUGAGGAACCGCUCCUUGAAUGUUCUGGACAGAGCACAGAAUUGCUUCUUAAGUCAGCCCGGCGCGGUUGCAAUAGACAGCAAAAAGGUAAACGUUUGCCUGAAAUCCGCACGCCAGCUCCACCGCCCCGCCCGAUGGUCCCAGUUCCUCUGGGAAUCGUCCUGUAUGCAACAUCUUCACAAGAGUGGCAGGCAGUUGAAUCUCUGGCCUUCGUGGGACCACUGGACAUCUGGCAGAGAACCAGGAAACCACGGUUCCCUUCUGUGAGUCCCUCAGCCGGAAAACUACAAGCUCCUCAUGCAGCUGCUGUCUACAGACCCCCUGGACUGCCUGGGGAAGUGAGUCGGAGCUCCUGCAGCAGAGGGGUGGAACAGCUACACGAAGAUCCGAAGGUGGCCAAAAAUAACAGCGCUUUCCAGAUGAGGGAGCCAGUUGUCCAGCACAGUGUCAUGGGACAGUGGGCCCUGGUGCCACAAUGCCCGGCAUCUCCACCAGAUACAGCUUUGAGAUCUUCAUGAUGAAGCUUGCUCCAAUCCAAGGGCUGUCAGGUGGGGUUUGCGGUUCAGCUGCUAACCUUUCUUUGACCCAGUUUUGGUGACUUGGUCACUGCAGACCUUUCAGAAUGUGUGGUGCUCAUUCUUGUUAAACCAGUUGAGAAUUUCCCCAAUCCUUUGGCCCUGCGCACAAGUGUAGCUGCUCUUCCAAUCAAUGGGACCUUUGUAUGCAGCAGGGCGGAAGGAUAUUAUUAUGUGACAAAUGACCACAGGGAAACUCCCAUUAUUUUCCUUGUGUCUGAGAAAUUAUAAAUGUGUAAUAAGGAACACUUUGUAGUAACCCUUGUUAAUUUAUGAUUUUAAAUAUGAAUGUGAAUUUAUUGGAAUGACACAAUAAAGAGUCACCAUGGGCACCGAUUAUAAUUAUCACCAAGUACAAUGAAGCAGAGAAAGAAACUAUCUCGCUCCUAAAUGGCAUCAUCCAUAUAAGCCUUGCCUUGUUCAAAGCUACUCUGUAGUAUUUUCUUUUAAAUAAAAUAAAUAAGGCACAAAUAAACAACAUAACCUAAA